rnacentral:rRNA from 1 species
CCUACGGGUGGCAGCAGUAGGGAAUAUUGCUCAAUGGGGGAAACCCUGAAGCAGCAACGCCGCGUGGAGGAUGAAGGUUUUCGGAUUGUAAACUCCUUUUGUUAGAGAAGAGAAUGACGGUAUCUAACGAAUAAGCAACGGCUAACUCCGGGCCAGCAGCCGCGGUAAUACGGAGGGUGCAAGCGUUACUCGGAAUAACUGGGCGUACAGAGCGCGUAGGCGGGAUAGCAAGUAAGAUGUGAAAUCCUAUGGCUUACCCAUAGAACUGCAUUUGAAACUGUUAUUCUAGAGUAUGGGAGAGGUAGUUGGAAUUCUUGGUGUAGCGGUCAAAUCCGUA